rnacentral:misc_RNA from 1 species
AAUGAAGUUCAAAUUCAAGUGGAAUGCAACAUCUGAUGAAUUUUCAUCCUAAUUUAAAGAGCAAAUGCAAUAUUAAACUAUUUUCUUUUAUUUCUGGUGGUAAGAUGUGGCCUUUAUUUCAUUCACCAAAAGCAGAGGAAGAGAAAAAGGGAAGCCACAUUUUGUUGCAUAUAGUAUUAGCACUCAAUAAAUGGCAAAUUCAGACCCUGAUCCCAGUAAUCAGCUUUCGUAAAGCAAACAUGUGAAUUCAAAACAAUAGAAGUUUGUGCUAUUGAAAAGAAGUGAUUGCAUUGAAAAAACAAUGGCAUUUCCUACACUAGCAAUAGUUGCAAGGUGUAGAUGGAGUAACUCAACAUAUGAGAGGGAAGUUGCAGCAUUUUCUGUGUAACAAUACUCUCUUCUAACAAGAGUAAAGUCAAAGGCUAACUUUUCGGCUUCAUAUAACAUUAUUCCAAAAGGAAAGAUGAAGUGAACUUGAUAAACACCCUACAAACAGCAUU